AGCUGGUAAACGAGAGCGUUUCCUAAAAUUCCCUCGGCCGUGCAUCCGAGUGGCCGGGAUCAUGCAGAUCUUUGCUUGUACAGACUGAUGUGCCUCUUCUCCAGCAGCCAUGCAGGUACACGCGUGAACAGACAAGCUUGGGUCCCGUUUCAGUCUGUCAGCAGAGUUCAGGCCUGCAGCGUAUCAAGCAAAUCGAUCGAUUCCCGUUUCUGCCAUGUACAUGUAGCUGUGCCGCACCGUGCAUGAAAAGCCAUAGCUUUACUUCUACUACUAGGAUCUGCAUUGUUUACUUUUUACCUUUUGAUAAUGCCUUCCUAGAUGUGGCUGUGUUUAGUAGUGAUCUCCGACUCGUCUACUCCAGUAAUCAUGCUCCUGUUGCUCUGCAGCUGCAAACCAUUUUUCAAAGCUCUUUGAGCAGCUCAUGUGGGGCCAAGCCGUAUCUCAUUGUCCAGGAUUUUGAGAGCAUUUUUCUAUCUUUUUUUUUGUAUACAUUUCUUCUUUAGUUACUACGGUAUUGUGCUAUCGCGGCCGGUGUCGUUGAGGCUUGUGUGGAUUCAGAGUAAAGGAACAGGGGCGUAAUUAGUUAAGCUGGGUUUAAUUAUGUGCAUGGGCAUGGCUGCCGCUUUCAACCGUGCAAUCAGUAAUCUAUGUGCACAAUCUCAUACUUGACAUGCGGGCAUGUGGUGGUAAUGAUGCACUCACACCCGAUAAACAAGGGGAGCCAGCCAUCC
rnacentral:lncRNA from 1 species